ACGCUGGCGGCAGGCCUAACACAUGCAAGUCGAGCGGUAGAGAGAAGCUUGCUUCUCUUGAGAGCGGCGGACGGGUGAGUAAUGCCUAGGAAUCUGCCUGGUAGUGGGGGAUAACGUUCGGAAACGGACGCUAAUACCGCAUACGUCCUACGGGAGAAAGCAGGGGACCUUCGGGCCUUGCGCUAUCAGAUGAGCCUAGGUCGGAUUAGCUAGUUGGUGGGGUAAUGGCUCACCAAGGCGACGAUCCGUAACUGGUCUGAGAGGAUGAUCAGUCACACUGGAACUGAGACACGGUCCAGACUCCUACGGGAGGCAGCAGUGGGGAAUAUUGGACAAUGGGCGAAAGCCUGAUCCAGCCAUGCCGCGUGUGUGAAGAAGGUCUUCGGAUUGUAAAGCACUUUAAGUUGGGAGGAAGGGUUGUAGAUUAAUACUCUGCAAUUUUGACGUUACCGACAGAAUAAGCACCGGCUAACUCUGUGCCAGCAGCCGCGGUAAUACAGAGGGUGCAAGCGUUAAUCGGAAUUACUGGGCGUAAAGCGCGCGUAGGUGGUUAGUUAAGUUGGAUGUGAAAUCCCCGGGCUCAACCUGGGAACUGCAUUCAAAACUGACUGACCAGAGUAUGGUAGAGGGUGGUGGAAUUUCCUGUGUAGCGGUGAAAUGCGUAGAUAUAGGAAGGAGCACCAGUGGCGAAGGCGACCGCCUGGACUGAUACUGACACUGAGGUGCGAAAGCGUGGGGAGCAAAC
rnacentral:rRNA from 1 species